rnacentral:rRNA from 1 species
GACGAACGCUGGCGGCGUGCUUAACACAUGCAAGUCGAACGGAAAGGCCCUGCUUUUGUGGGGUGCUCGAGUGGCGAACGGGUGAGUAACACGUGAGUAACCUGCCCUUGACUUUGGGAUAACUUCAGGAAACUGGGGCUAAUACCGGAUAGGAGCUCCUGCUGCAUGGUGGGGGUUGGAAAGUUUCGGCGGUUGGGGAUGGACUCGCGGCUUAUCAGCUUGUUGGUGGGGUAGUGGCUUACCAAGGCUUUGACGGGUAGCCGGCCUGAGAGGGUGACCGGCCACAUUGGGACUGAGAUGCGGCCCGGACUCAUACGGGAGGCAGCGGUGGGGAAUAGUGCGCGAUGGGCGGAAGCCGGAUGCAGCAACGCCGCGUGCGGGAUGACGGCCUUCGGGUUGUAAACCGCUUUCGCCUGUGACGAAGCGUGAGUGACGGUAAUGGGUAAAGAAGCACCGGCUAACUACGUG